AGCGAACGCUGGCGGCAGGCUUAACACAUGCAAGUCGAACGGGCACUUCGGUGCUAGUGGCAGACGGGUGAGUAACGCGUGGGAACGUACCUUUCGGUUCGGAAUAAUUCAGGGAAACUUGGACUAAUACCGGAUACGCCCUUCGGGGGAAAGAUUUAUCGCCGAUAGAUCGGCCCGCGUCUGAUUAGCUAGUUGGUGAGGUAAUGGCUCACCAAGGCGACGAUCAGUAGCUGGGCUGAGAGGAUGAUCAGCCACAUUGGGACUGAGACACGGCCCAAACUCCUACGGGAGGCAGCAGUGGGGAAUAUUGGACAAUGGGCGCAAGCCUGAUCCAGCCAUGCCGCGUGAGUGAUGAAGGCCUUAGGGUUGUAAAGCUCUUUUGUCCGGGAAGAUAAUGACUGUACCGGAAGAAUAAGCCCCGGCUAACUUCGUGCCAGCCGCCGCAGUAAGAC
rnacentral:rRNA from 1 species